GGUCCCUUGGUGUAGCGGCCCAACACACUCCCCUGUCACGGGAGAGAUCACGGAUUCAAAUUCCGUAGGGACCGCCA
rnacentral:tRNA from 1 species